UCUCUCUCUCUAAUGUCGCUCUCUCUUUCCUCCACCUUCUCCCCAUCUCUCUCACCCCCUUCUUCUCUCCGUACCCCGGUGCCUCCCUCGUUAUCAAACUGUGCUGUGAUGUUUAUCAGCGGACCUGAGUGAAAGCAGGCGGACGAUCGAGGCGGAGUCGUGGACGUGACCGGAGGAAAGAGCCAUAAAACCGGAGAACAGGCUGUGAUGUCACCAUGAUGCAACCAGUUUCCAGGUUCAAAGGUCGGCCGGUCAGCCUCCUCACCAUUUCUACACCUUGGGUGUCAGUUAGCUGUGACCCCGCCCUUCAGUGGGUAUGGUUGACCACAUACCAAACCACGCCCCCUAUGUUCCUCUAUCCCCAAGCUGUGUGGAUUCCUGAGCACACACGUCUGCCACAGUGGGAACGACGGACUGUUGACGUGGUUCCUGUUCUUCCUCAGUUCUACCACUCCUCACCUCUUCAUCAUCCUCAUCAUCUGUAUAAG